UCCCUGGUGGCUCAGAUGGUAAAGAACCUGCCUGCAAUGCAGGAAACCAAGGUUCAAUUCCUGGGUUGGGAA
rnacentral:tRNA from 1 species